CAUUGUCAUGUAUCCCUACUUCCUUACAUGGAAUUUAGCACUUACCUUUCCCGAUCACUAAGAUAUAAGUAAAUUUGGAGCCAUAUUUGAAUAUAUGUUUUAGUUAAUGUAUUGUGUAAACCUCAUAGAACUGAACAAGAUGAUGGUAUAUGGGUUAUCUUAGUUUCUCUGGUAAAUCAAUUUCUCAUUAGUGCUGGAGAUUCUAAAUUUAUUUUCAUUCAAGCAUUUAUGAAACUAUAAGGUAAUUGCAUCUCUCUUCCCAGUCUGAUCUUAGUUAUUUACAAUUUUAGCUGUCCUACAUCCCAAAUUUUGAAUAAGUUUUUGAAACUGGUCCUUGUUCUUGUUGUAUACUAAUUAAUUGAUUCUCAGCAUGCUUCAUGUCUUUUGUUUACUUGACAAUAUGGAAAUGUUAAUGAUUUUAGCCUAGCUUUUCUCUCAAGUGUUUUUUCUUUUUCUUUCCACGCUUGAGUAGGUUGUAGCACAAACUUCAGUCAAAUCAUUGGAGUCUAGUUUGCCUCUUUCUUCAGAUAUCUCUUUGAGCCAACAAUUUGGGACUAAGAAUAACAGUGUCUAUGUCACAAAAUCCUGGAUGACCGUUAAAGAGUCAAUUGGUGUAUGGAGUGACGAUAUUUUUACAGUUCAGGGUAUAUUGGAGCAUUUAAAUGUGACAAAGGACUAUUCUGAUUAUCUAUGGUAUAUAUCCAGAAUAUACAUUUCAGACGAGGAUAUAUCAUUUUGGGAGGAGAAUAAUAUUGGUCCAACAGUUAAAAUUGAUAGUAUGUGUGAUGUUUUGCGUGUAUUUUUCAAUGGCCAGCUUGAAGGUAAUUAGUAAUAAACUUUAGAAGGUAUGCAUUAUAUUAUGAUAAUAUGGUGCCUUUUAUUAAUAUACAUUUUAGCUCUUUGGUGAGGUGAUAAAUGUCCUGCUGCUAAAUGAUUGAGAGAACUUGAGAAUAACCAUUUGAAGCUUUUGAUGGAGUUAAGGGUUCUUAUGCAUUGAUUUCAGAGGUUGCUCUGCUUGACAAACUAUUUUCAUCGUUAUCAUGUCUCUGCAUAAAUUUAUUCAUUUUGAUGGAGAAGCAAUGAUACUGAUCUUAUUAGUAGAUUUCCUGGCCAGCUUGUUUGGUUUUUUAUGUAUGUGACUUCAUCUAUACACAUCUCUGGUACAAGUACAUACUGAUACUGUAUAACUGCAUUAUUUUCUUGGAACUCAUAUAUAUCUAUAUUGAACUCUUUUGUUACCAGUUCACAUACUUUCUACUUUGGAUUUUCGUGAUUGUAAUUAUCUCAAAUAUAUAUAGCAUUUGCAGUCUUUCUGAACAUGUAUUACAUUGAUCUCAUAUAGAAGUAGAUUAUACUUGGUUGAUGUUGUUUACAUUACGACCUUUUUGUUUGGUUACUGAUAUAUAAGCUAUUGCGACUUUAUGAAGUGAAGGCACUAUGAUAGGCCGUUGGGUGAAGGUUUUCCAGCCUGU